GAAUAUUGGACAAUGGGGGGAACCCUGAUCCAGCCAUGCCGCGUGUGUGAAGAAGGCCUUUUGGUUGCAAAGCACUUUAAGCGAGGAGGAGGCUACUCUAGUUAAUACCUAGGGGUAGUGGACGUUACUCGCAGAGAAAGCCCCGGCCACCCCUGUGCCCACAGCCGCGGUAAUACAGAGGGUGCAAGCGUUAAUCGGAUUUACUGGGCGUAAAGCGCGCGUAGGUGGCCAAUUAAGUCAAAUGUGAAAUCCCCGAGCUUAACUUGGGAAUUGCAUUCGAUACUGGUUGGCUAGAGUAUGGGAGAGGAUGGUAGAAUUCCAGGUGUAGCGGUGAAAUGCGUAGAGAUCUGGAGGAAUACCGAUGGCGAAGGCAGCCAUCUGGCCUAAUACUGACACUGAGGUGCGAAAGCAUGGGGAGCAAACAG
rnacentral:rRNA from 1 species